AUGCAGUCGAGCGAUGGAUUAAGAGCUUGCUCUUAUGAAGUUAGCGGCGGACGGGUGAGUAACACGUGGGUAACCUACCCAUAAGACUGGGAUAACUCCGGGAAACCGGGGCUAAUACCGGAUAAUAUUUUGAACUGCAUAGUUCGAAAUUGAAAGGCGGCUUCGGCUGUCACUUAUGGAUGGACCCGCGUCGCAUUAGCUAGUUGGUGAGGUAACGGCUCACCAAGGCGACGAUGCGUAGCCGACCUGAGAGGGUGAUCGGCCACACUGGGACUGAGACACGGCCCAGACUCCUACGGGAGGCAGCAGUAGGGAAUCUUCCGCAAUGGACGAAAGUCUGACGGAGCAACGCCGCGUGAGUGAUGAAGGCUUUCGGGUCGUAAAACUCUGUUGUUAGGGAAGAACAAGUGCUAGUUGAAUAAGCUGGCACCUUGACGGUACCUAACCAGAAAGCCACGGCUAACUACGUGCCAGCAGCCGCGGUAAUACGUAGGUGGCAAGCGUUAUCCGGAAUUAUUGGGCGUAAAGCGCGCGCAGGUGGUUUCUUAAGUCUGAUGUGAAAGCCCACGGCUCAACCGUGGAGGGUCAUUGGAAACUGGGAGACUUGAGUGCAGAAGAGGAAAGUGGAAUUCCAUGUGUAGCGGUGAAAUGCGUA
rnacentral:rRNA from 1 species